rfam:Lentinula edodes NBRC 111202 DNA, contig: scaffold530.
GGGCAUGUAGCGUAGGGGUUAUCGCGUUCGCUUUGCAUUCUCGAUCGUUUGCGAAAGGUCUCCGGUUCAAAUCCGGACUUGUCCA